UGUUAAAAAUUUCAUCCAUUUCUAUUGUUAAAAUUCGACAUGACUGACAAAACAAUUAGACAGUUACACUUGACAUGUUAAGUGUACCUUAUACUGACAUAUAAGGACCAAUUUUUAAUAGUAAAAAUAGAUAAAAUUUUUAACA
rfam:Gossypium hirsutum cultivar TM-1 chromosome 13, whole genome shotgun sequence